GAGGUGGAGACUGCCGAUUGUACAAAGCGGAACGCGGCUGCACUCCGGAGCUGUCAGAUACAUCGCAUUGACUGUGGGCAGGAGCGUUCUGAAUCGUAGUUGGGCAGCACAAACACCAUUUCAGACGGAUACAGAAACACAGGACAGACCAAGACUGAAAAACUAACAAAAACCACAUAAUUAUAACAUAUAGUUACAACAGUGCAACAAUAUCAUAACUUGAUGAAGAACAGACAGUAAAAAAGUUCAAAGUCUCUCAAAAGUCCCACAUCGCACGCAGAUGGGAGAAGGAAGAAAACUCUCCCUGCCAUGCCCGACCACAGUCUGACUCUCAGUCGUCCGAAAACUUUGAGCUCCGAUCAGCCCUCUGACACCGAGUACCGAGCACCAUCUCUAUCCGAACGCUUCGACUGCAGCCUCGGUUUCCAUCAGCAGGCAAAGCCGGGGAUUUUGGGGCCUUCCCUCCGGAGAUUCUCGAUCGCACAGAAGCAGCGGCAGUGAACCGGGCAUUUCAGAAGUUACUCCAGAUGUUCCUCUGCUUCUCACGUCUGUCUCCAGCACAAGAGAGAAGUUCCCACCUGCUGAUAAGGGUGACAAUUCUACCAGUGCCCAAGAACAGAAGGACGAGCUGCCUUAACAACUAUCGUCUGGUGCACUCACAUCUACAGUGAUAAAGUGCUUUGAGAGGUUGGUUAUGAUUAGAAUCAAGUCCUACCUCAGCAAGGACCUGGACCCACUGCAAUUUGUCUAUCACUACAAUAGGUCUACAGUGGACAUGGUCCCAAUAGCUCUUCACGCAGCCUUGGAUCACCUGGACAAUACAAAUACCAAUGUCAGGAUGCUGUUCAUUGACUACAGCUCAGCAUUUAACACAAUCAUUCCUACAGUUCUGAUCGAAAAGCUCCAGAACCUGGACCCCUAUAUGUCCCUCUGCAGCUGGAUCCUCGACUUCCUAACUAGAAGACCACAAUCUGUGCAGAUCAGAAAUAAGAUCUCCACCUCGCUGACAAUCAACACUGGCUCACCUCAAGAAUGUGUGCUUAGCCCGCUGCUCUACUCUCUCUACACCCAUGACUGAGUCGCUAGGCACGGCUGAAAUGACAUCCAUGAAUUUGCUGGCGAUACACCACUGUUGGCAGAGUCUCAGAUGGUGACGAGAGGGUGUACAGGAGCAAGGUAUACCAGUUACUUGAAUGGCGUCACAGCAACAACCUUGCACUCAACGUCAGCAAAACCAAAGAGCUGAUUGUGGACUUCUAAAAGAGUUAAGACGGGGGAACACCCACCAGUUCUCACAGAGGAAUCAGAAAAGGAGAGAGUGAGCAAUUUCAAGUUCCUGGGUGUCAGUAUCUCUGAGGAUCUAACCUGGACCCAACAUAUCGAUGCAGUUAUAAAGAAGGCAUGACAGUGAUUAUAUUUCAUUCGGAGUUUGAGGACAUAUGGUAUGUCAAUGAAAGCACUCACAAAUUUACAGCACAGAUGUACUGUGGAGAGCAUUCUAACUGGCUGCAUCACCAUCUGGCAUAGGGGAUAGGGAAGCGACUACACAGGAUCAAAGUGAGCUGCAGAGAGUUGUAAAAUUAGUCAGCUCCAUCAUGGGUACUAGCCUCCAUAGUAUCCAGGGCGUCUUCAAGGAGUGGUGCCUCAAAAAGGCGGCGUCCAUCAUUUAGGACCUCCAGCACCCAGGACAUGCCUGCUUCUGAUUGUUACCAUCAAGAAGGAGGUACAGAAGCCUGAAGGCACACACUCAGCAAUUCAAGAACAGCUUCUUCCCCUCUACCACCGAUUCCUAAAUUGACAUUGAAUCCAUGAACACUAACUCACUACUUUUUUUAAUCUCUUUUUUGCAUAACUUAUUUAAUUUAAUUAUAUAUAUGUAUUCAUAAUGUAAUUCACAGUAUCUUUUUCUCAAUAUUAUCAUGUAGUGCCUUUUACUGCUACAUUAGGUAUACAUGGAGAGGUUGUAAAUUGGAUUAGACAUUGGCUCAAUGGAAGAAGGCAAAGAGUGGUAGUGGAGGAUUGCUUCUCAGAGUGGAGGCCUGUAACUAGUGGUGUGCCACAGGGAUCAGUGCUGGGUCCAUCGUUAUUUGUCAUCUAUAUCAAUGAUCUGGAUGAUAAUGUGGUAAACUGGAUCAGCAAAUUUGCUGAUGAUACAAAGAUUGGAGGUGUAGUGAGGGUUUUCAAAGCUUGCAGAGGGAUUUGGACCAGCUGGAAAAAUGGGUUGAAAAAUGGCAGAUGGAGUUUAGUACAGACAAGUGUGAGGUAUUGCACUUUAGAAGAACAAACCAAGGUAGAACACAUAGGGUAAAUGGUAAGGCACUGAGGAGUGCAGUAGAACAGAGGGAUCUGGGAAUACAGAUACAAAAUUCCCUAAAAGUGGCAUCACAGGUAGAUAGGCUCAUAAAGAGAGCUUUUGGUACAUUGGCCUUUAUUAAUCAAAGUACUGAGUAUAAGGGCUGGAAUGUUAUGAUGAGGUUGUAUAAGGCAUUGGUGAGGCUGAAUCUGGAGUAUUGUGUUCAGUUUUGGUCACCAAAUUACAGGAAGGAUAUAAAUAAGGUUGAAAGAGUGCAGAGAAGGUUUACAAGGAUGUUGCUGGGACUUGAAAAACUCAGUUAUAGGGAAAGGUUGAAUAGGUUAGGACUUUAUUCCCUGGAGCGUAGAAGAAUGAGGGGAGAUUUGAUAGAGGUAUAUAAAAUUAUGAUGGGUAUAGAUAGAGUGAAUGCAAGCAGGCUUUUUCCACUGAGGCAAGGGGAGAAGAAAACCAGAGGACAUGGGUUAAGGGUGAUGGGGGAAAUGUUUAAAGGGAUCAUUGCGGGGGCUUCUUCACACAGAGAGUGGUGGGAGUAUGGAAUGAGCUGCCAGAUGAGGUGGUAAAUGUGGGUUCUUUUUUAACAUUUAAGAAUAAAUUGAAUAGAUACAUGGAUGGGAGGAGUAUGGAGGGAUAUGGUCCAUGUGCAGGUCAGUGGGACUAGGCAGAAAAUGGUUCGGCACAGCCAAGAAGGGCCAAAAGGCCUGUUUCUGUGCUGUAGUUUUUCUAUGGUUUCUAUGGUUUCUAGUUCCGGGUUUUUACGGUAUUGGGUUGCUAGCCCCAUGCCCAACCCUUCUCCUUCUGCAGCCGGGCUUCAGACCGUCCAUGGUGACGUUGCUCACAAGGCUGAUCCAUUGGUUUAUUUCUGUAACCUUGAAUUCUCUUUCCUCAUUUCUCACUAUUCUGUUAGCCUGGGUAUCAUCGACAGACUUUGUAGUCGUGGCCUCUACAUUUCAGCCCAAGUCACCAAAUCCAACAGGCAGAACACAGUGCCCAGUAUAGCAAACCUCCAGCAAACAGAACAGAUGUGGGGCAGACCUUGAGCCCUUCCUGUUCCCUCCCGUGUGUAGUAACCUCUGACUGUUUGAAAUCCAGCCAGCUGCGUAGCAAGGAAGAUCUGAGAACAGAGGUUUCAGAGGCGGUGUGCCCUAGGAGCCACUGAGAAUAUCAGCUGCUCAGCAGAACUGGAUUUUUUUGUGAGAGGGGCUCCUGGGUGGCCUAAACAUACAAAGGAGAUGAUAGCAGAUUGCUAUCACUGCCCUUGCAGCUCUGGACUGACCUGGCCACAAACUGUUCCCUCUUGAUUCUAUCACUGUGACAACUCUCCAAUAUAAUAACCAGAAAGCACCCCUAACCAGAGGUAGAGGGCCAUUCAUUCUUGCACUGUUGCCGAUAACUUUAAUCUGUCAUUGUGAGGCCUGUACUUUAGUUGAUGGCUGACGUAGAUCCUUUGGGGGUACAGGAUGGAAAUUUAAGCCUGUGGGCCACAUGCCAAGUUAGAAUUAGCUACGAAUUGCACCAACUAUGUUGUUUGCUUAGGCUGAUUUCCAAACUUUAAAAAAAAAUCACAAAGCCCCUUUUAGAAUUAAAAGGAUUUGGACUAACAAAUCUUUCUCUGUAACAUGACCUCCUGGCUGUUCAUUAUUUUUCUGGUUGUUUCAAGAUGAGGUACGUAAUGUCUCUGUGUUGCAAAGGUCCCACCCGUCAAUGUGCCAAUCUUUUCACUCAUGUCUCGUUGUGCAUGCAUUUGUUUGAAACUCAGAGUGUACCUGGGAACGUUCUUAGAGUGUGUAUGUGUGUGUGCAUGUGUCUGCAUUUAUGAAGGUAUUCAUGUCUGUUUUGUGUGUGUGUAUAUGUGUACAUAAAUUUGUGUGUGAGUCCUUGGUGUGCAUGUGUCUGUGAAGGUGUUCAUGUCUGGCGUGCGUGCACGUGUGUGUGUGUGUGUGUGUGUGUGUGUGUGUGUGUGUGCAUACAACUGUCUUUGCCCCGCUUGUUCUGAAGUAUUAAGUAAAGAUGAUCUAUAAUUUGAUAUUUUUGCAUGUGGGAAUGCAAUUUCAUUGUAAACAACAUCACUUACACGUGAGAAGCGAUUUGCAGCCUGAUGGCCCACGGAUAGUGAGACUAUGCAGUUCAAACUGCAACACCUGCAGGAGUGAGACCAGGAUAGGAGAAGGUCGUUAUUUUACCACUGCUGGAGACUAUGACGUGUGGACCUUCAAUCGGUGUGUGUGGGAUGGAGUCAGGGACAGAUCUGACAUGACACACAAUCAAACCUACUUAACGGCCAGUGGGUAAUGUAUGAAACCCGUGGGUCACAGAAACCUGUGUCGUUCCGAGAGAUAGGGCUGGGCUACUGGUAUAAAUCCUAAAUCAAAACUGAAGAGCCAAUCAGAUUCUUCGUACAAAGCUGAAUCUAGCCAGCGGCAAGUUUCUCGGUGUGAAGGAAAUGAAGUGUAGAACAGAAAACAUUAAGUUCUGCUUCAUUCUUUCAAGGGUAAUAUUUAUAUGCUGGAGCUAAGUGGAUUACUUGGGAAAUGACUGUGGCAAAAUGCACAGCCCUGCGUAUAGCAGGCUGGUAGAGCUGCUGCUUCACUGUCGUAGUCUCCAAGUUCAGUCCUGAGCUUGACUACUGACUGUGUGGAGUUUGCCCAUUCUCCCUGUGACUGAUCUGAGUUCUCUCCAGGAUCUCCUGUUUCCUGCAACAUCUCAGAAACCUGCAGACUGGAAGGGUAAUUGGCCACAUUGCAAAUUGCCCCUAGAGUAUAGGUGAUGGUAGUAUCUGGAAGGAUGGGGCUAAUGGGAAUUAGGAGAGAAUUGGAAAAAGGGUUGAGCUUAGAUUAAGGUCUGAUGGUGAGCGUGGACCAUCUGUUUCCACUGGUAGGUGAGACUAGAACUAGGGGACAUAGCCUCAAGGGGGUGGGGGGGAGAUUUAGGACAGAGAUGAGGAGAAACUCCUUUUCCCAGAGAGUGGUGAAUCUGUGGAAUUCUCUGCCCAAUGAAGCAGUGGAGGCUACGUCAGUAAAUAUAUUUAAGACAAGGUUGGAUAGAUUUUUGCAUAGUAGGGGAGUUAAAGGUUAUGGGGAAAAGGCAGGUAGGUGGAGAUGAGUCCAUGGCCAGAUCAGCCAUGAUCUUGUGGAAUGGCAGAGCAGGCUCGACGGGCCAGAUGGCCGACUCCCGCUCCUAUUUCUUAUGUUCUUAUGGAGCAGGUAGGCUGAAGGGCCUGAGUCCAAGCUGUAUGACUCUAUAACUCUGGCCAUGGCCAAGGAGCAUGAGAGUCAAGCAUUUAUUAUCUAGUUAGCUGUACCAGGUGGUAUUGGCAGAGAUGCUUUCAUCUGCAUAUGGCCCUUGAAUAUUGUCUAUUAAGAUGGAAAUAACAUUUAUUUUCUCUGUUGACCAACCCUGCUCAAAUAUAUCAUGUACUCAUGUCAAAGUAGUGCCAUUAUACCAACAGCACAAGGAAUACCACUGCCAAGUUCUAUACACACAAUCGUAAUCAUAUUCAGGUUUAUUGUCACUAACAUGUCUUGAAAUUUGUUGCUCUGUGGUGGCGGUGCAGUGCAAAACUCAAAAAUUGCUAUAAGUUACAAUAAAUAAAUAAACAAACAAACAAACAGUCUAAAGCGGGAAUGGUGAGGUAGUGUUCAUGGGUUCAUGGACCGCUCAGAAAUCUGAUGGCAGAGGGGAAGAAGCUGUUCCUGAAAUGUUGAGUGUGGGACUUCGGGCUCCUGUACCUCCCCCAAGAUGGUAGUAAUGAGAAGAGGACUUGUGCCAGAAGCUGAGGAUCCUUAAUGAUGGAUGGUGCCUUCUUGAGAACCAGCUUUUGAAAACACAAAAUAAUCUGUA